rnacentral:tRNA from 1 species
UCCCUGGUGGUCUAGUGGGUAUGAUUCAGUGCUCUUGGGUUGGAGAACCGCCGUGGCCUGGGUUCGAUUCCAAGUCAGGGAA